UCCAUCCACUGUUUAUAUAAUUCUUCCUCGUGUGUUCUUUUAGAAAUUGACGCACUGAACAUACCGCCAAAACUUCCUCUAAGAGCUCCAGCGACAUUGAAGAUUUAAACCUUAACAGACAAAAAUUGAUAGGUGAGUUGUGCAUGUAAAGUCUGUUACAUAACAUU